GACAAAUAAUAAAUGAAAAAAAUGUUGUUUUGAUCAAGUCAUAAUAAAAGUUAGUGUCAGUUAUUGAGGUUUGAAUGAUUAGAUAUGAUACUAGUAUAUUAGAAAUAUUAAGUUGGUGGUAAAUAAACUUGACUAAAAUAUAUAUUAUUUGCAGUGAACAUUGUACAUGUGAUAGCCUUAAGUCUUUUCAGUGAGGUAUACAUUGGUACAUCACAGUAAUAAAUAAUUUCCCUUAAGCGGAGCUUUGAUUGCAACACAUUUACUAUGUGAACCAUAAAAAUGAUACAGAACAACAAAAUGUUGUCAUCUCUGUCAAUACUGAUGAUCUAGUACAUUAGGUAUAAAUACAGAUUUUACAAUAAUGGUGGUUUACAGCCAUAACAGUGAGAAGGUAGAUACUGAUGUCAAAGGUCAAAUCUGUAGAAUUGAUAUUGAACGUAACAGAAUGACAAAGGUAACGCAUAAAGGUAGGAGAAUAAGGUGAAAGGUCAGAUCUAUAUAGGGGAAUGAUGUCAAUUCAAGGUCAGAUCUAUAUAGGGGAAUGAUGUCAAUUCAAGGUCAGAUCUAUGUAGGGGAAUGAUGUCAAAGGUCAGAUCUGCAUCUGUAAAAAGAAAGGUCAGAUCAGUAGUGGAGGAAUGGUAAAGGUCAGAUCUGUAGUAGGGUAAUGGUAAAGGUCAGAUCUGUAGUAGGGUAAUGGUAAAGGUCAGAUCUGUAGUAGGGUAAUGGUAAAGGUCAGAUCUGUAGUAGGGUAAUGGUAAAGGU